GAUGAAUUUAAUUCUGAGAAGAAGUCACCUGGUGGCAUAUCCAGAGAAGUUGAGGCAUUUAUAAAGAUAUGCUUUCCACAAAUGGACUUAAAUAAAAUUUUAAUUCCAAUUUAUCAGCACGCCAUCAACAUCCCACCAGACUGUGUACCCAGCUGUACUAUUGGAGAUGGAAACAGAAAACGAGCCCCCCACGGUUCGCUAUACAGUAAAGACAUAUCCUCACAAAAGUUCUGCAUCCCAGACCCCCUGUUUGCUUCUCCCACAGAACCAGGGUUGGGGGAGUUGCAUAGGGGUAAUAUGGCACAUUUGCUGCAGAACCCAGAAGAAAUCAUUAACCUGGACCCUCUACACAAUACCACUGAACCCUGUUUGUAUCAAAUGUUUUCAGAGGCGGUGACAAACCCCUCUAAAAAAAGAUGGCUUUCUUCUUUCAACAUGGUCUUUUCAGGACUGUCUCCGAGAGCUCGGCCAGAGACCACUUAUGAACCAUUGGGGCCAUUUUCACCCAUUAGCCCUGGCCCUUCUUCCGCCACAGAAGAGUUCCAGUUUGAAUUUAGCCCUUCUCCUCAAACCUCCCCAGAAACAAGCGAGCAGAGCUACAUACCUACUCCCAACUCAGCUAUGGGCGGAUCCUUUGAGUACACAGGCGCCGUUCAACCACAACUAAUUCCAGAUAAUCACACCUGUUCCGCAAAGAGAUUAAGGGAGAGCGAUGAGGAGGUAAAUUAUUCUUCAGACGGUAGUCCAAACAAGAAACCCACAGCUCGCACUUCUGGGCACGAACAGGCUUAUGGUUUUCUGGCCGAGUUGCUCUCUAGCCACAGGGAUACGCCUGUCCAGCAUAUUGUGCAAUCUGGCUCAACGCCCGCCCCGCCAAUUGUUGAGCCUCAGGGACAAGAUUUUGUUGGAAAACAGGAUGAGACAUGUUCCAACGUGUUCCCAGAACAAAUUACUCAGGAAGCGUGUCCCGGAUCAUCUGAGGACGCGUUCAUCGAUGAUGCUAUAAAGGAAAUAUUUGCAUCGCUGGACUCUAUGGCAAACCAGGACACUGCUGACAGUGACACAUGUUCCAUACUUGACCCCCAAUCACCCACUCCCCCACCCUCCGUUCCCCCAAUAACUACACUCUCGUUGUAUGACAUUUAUGCCAGCAUACUUAGUCCACUCGACCCAAACAGCCUGGAGUCAUAAACGGUGCCAAAUACAAGACAUUUCUAAAUCCUUAAGUAUAAUGUUUAUAUUUAACUGAAUAAAAGAAGUGACGCUAUAAAACCCUCAACAUGUGUGGCGUUAAAUCCCUAGCAAAGUGUUUUCUGUUGUUUCAAAUAAUAAGUUUUCUGGGGAAUCACAACUUAGUAUGGGUGCCCGGGGCGGCCCUUGGUGCGGCCGAGACUGUAGAGGGUAUUACAAGUAGAGAGAUGGAAAUAAAUGCUACAAAGGCACCAUCUAGCGGUGCAACAUUUUCAUUACUAGUAACUCUCUCGAACAACAAUCCCACUACAAUUAUGCGCCCCCCUGUGGCCCAAAAUGGUGAGAGUGUACACAAAGACGCCCGCAGCGCUUCCGCGUCCGAUCCCACCACCUCAGAACCAACUUCCCCAGGAGAGGAGCCAACGGAGGCUGACCCCAAAGCGGCACCGUCCGCUGGGCAUGUUGGGGAGACUGAGCCCGAGUCUCCAACCCCUCUACCCGCAACACCUAAACCCUCCUCACAGGAAGAUAAUCCAACUAUGACUCCCCCUACAGCAGAACCUCCCACCUCCAAUGCAGAUGUUUCUACUGAACACGUUGAUGAGACAGAACCCGAGUCACCAACCUUCCUCCCCCCUACUCCCGAACCAGACACCCCCACAACCCCGGAAACAACCACCCCUUCCCAAAAUCAGGAAGAUGAACCCACCCUAACUACUUCUUCAUCGGACGCUCCUGCUGACACAUCAGAUACCAGUCCUCCCAAACAAGAGGAUGACCCAGUAAAACCUACAGAGUCCAAACCCCAGGCUGAACCAAAGGACAAUUCUCCUUCCGAUGUACCUGAAACCGCUGACAGUCCGACAGAUCCCGCCUCCCCUACCGUCGAACUCACCCCUCCCACAGAGCCCCCUACCCCCGAAACCGUGUCUCCAGCCGAUUCCCCAGUUCCUCAACCAACUGCCCCAGCUGAACCUUCAAAGCCAGAACCUACACCACCCGUAGACCCGCCGGCUACUGAACCAAAUACCCCAGCUGACCCUUCUACCCCAGAGUCAACACCCCCCACAGACCCCCCAGCUCCUCAACCAACUCCCCCAGCUGAACCUUCAAAUCCAGAACCUACACCACCCGUAGACCCACCUGCUACUCCACCAAAUAUCCCAGCUGACCCUUCAACCCCAGAGUCAACACCCCCCGCGGAUCCCCCAGCUCCUCAACCAACUCCCCCAGCUGAGCCCUCUACCCCAGAACCCAGCACCCCCGCCAAAGCUCCCGCUCCUGAACCCACACCCCCACCAAGUGGACCAUCUAUGACACCAGAGGCGACACCGCCCUCUACAGCUGGACCUGGAGCCGAAACAGAGACGCCAGAUGGGGAUACCACCACUCAACCAGCAUCCCCCCAGACUACAGCGCCCAUGCACCCCGUUCCAGACAUUUCUACCCUGCUUUGGAUACGACCCACGAUCGCCAUAAUAUUGAUAUUUCUCCUUAUGACUAUCUUUCAUAUCAUGUACUGUGUGUGUUUACAUGAAUAAAAACCUGACAAUUUUGAUUAU
rnacentral:tmRNA from 1 species